GCAGUCGAGCGGUAGCACAGAGAGCUUGCUCUCGGGUGACGAGCGGCGGACCCCUGAGUAAUGUCUGGGAAACUGCCUGAUGGAGGGGGAUAACUACUGGUUUCGGUAGCUAAUACCGCAUAACGUCGCAAGACCAAAGUGGGGGACCUUCGGGCCUCAUGCCAUCAGAUGUGCCCAGAUGGGAUUAGCUAGUAGGUGGGGUAACGGCUCACCUAGGCGACGAUCCCUAGCUGGUCUGAGAGGAUGACCAGCCACACUGGAACUGAGACACGGUCCAGACUCCUACGGGAGGCAGCAGUGGGGAAUAUUGCACAAUGGGCGCAAGCCUGAUGCAGCCAUGCCGCGUGUGUGAAGAAGGCCUUCGGGUUGUAAAGCACAAACAGCGGGGAGGAAGGCGGUGAGGUUAAUAACCUCGUCGAUUGACGUUACCCGCAGAAGAAGCACCGGCUAACUCCGUGCCAGCAGCCGCGGUAAUACGGAGGGUGCAAGCGUUAAUCGGAAUUACUGGGCGUAAAGCGCACGCAGGCGGUCUGUCAAGUCGGAUGUGAAAUCCCCGGGCUCAACCUGGGAACUGCAUUCGAAACUGGCAGGCUAGAGUCUUGUAGAGCCCCCCAGAAUUCCAGGUGUAGCGGUGAAAUGCGUAGAGAUCUGGAGGAAUACCGGUGGCGAAGGCGGCCCCCUGGACAAAGACUGACGCUCA
rnacentral:rRNA from 1 species